rnacentral:rRNA from 1 species
UGGGGAAUCUUGCACAAUGGGGGCAACCCUGAUGCAGCGACGCCGCGUGAGCGAUGAAGCCCUUCGGGGCGUAAAGCUCUUUCGACCGGAACGAUAAUGACGGUACCGGGAGAAGAAGCUGCGGCUAACUACGUGCCAGCAGCCGCGGUAAUACGUAGGCAGCAAGCGUUGUUCGGAGUUACUGGGCGUAAAGAGUGCGUAGGCGGUUUUCUAAGUUCGGUGUGAAAUCUCCCGGCUUAACUGGGAGGGUGCGCCGAAGACUGGGAAGCUGGAGUGUGGGAAAGGCAGGCGGAAUUCCUGGUGUAGCGGCGAAAUGCGUAGAUAUCAGGAGGAACACCGGCGGUGUAGACGGCUUGCUAGACCAUAACUGACGCUGAGGCACGAAAGCGUGGGUAGCAAACA